GCCGGCGUAGCUCAGCGGUAGAGCAGCUGAUUCGUAAUCAGCAGGUCCUCGGUUCAAUCCCGAGCGCCGGCUCCA
rnacentral:tRNA from 1 species